GCUGAGAAGGGUGAUACGGAGAACGGAAAGGAGAAGGGCGGCGAGAAGGAGAAGGAGCAGCGCGGCGUGAAGCGGCCCAUCGUGCCCGCGCUGGUGCCGGAGUCGCUGCAAGAGCAAAUCCAGAGCAACUUCAUCAUUGUCAUACAUCCAGGUUCAACAACUUUAAGGAUUGGUCGAGCCACAGACACUCUUCCUGCCAGCAUUCCUCACGUCAUUGCCCGAAGACACAAACAACAAGGGCAGCCCCUAUACAAGGACAGUUGGCUCCUAAGGGAGGGACUAAAUGUAAGUCAAAAACGACCUGGAGAGAAAGCCUAAGGUUGUUUCCCUGGGAGGGCUUAGACACAAGUACACCAGAAUCUUAAAGAAACAUCUUCAUAGCUUUGCUGUGUUUUAAAACAUUAAUAAUGUCACUAAUUUUUCAUCAGAGCUAGUGACUUUAGAUGUAAAGAAUUAGUUACAACAAAAGUAAGUCUUUCAGGGUGAAUUGAGUGUGGAUGAAGGUGAUCUAUAAUGGAAGACACAAAAUCAUCACUCACAGUAAUACAUUCAGGUCCUUGUUAACAGGCUUAAACUUAUGGAUUAAGCCAUAUUUAAACUGUAAAUAUCUCUUUCAGAUACUUACAGUUUAAGUCAAUAAGUCAAACUCUUAUUUUCAAUCCAUUAGCAAAUUAGAUUGUUACAAUAAGCACUUAUUAUGGUCUUAGAUUAACCAUAAUUUCAAGGC
rnacentral:lncRNA from 10 species